UUUUAUUGGGAUUUAAUGUGGGGCCUUUCUGUUCUUUUAUUUAUUGUCAUGUUUCUGAAACUCGUGGUUGCAGUUUGGCGGUUAUUUUUGGCGCAGGCCUUGUAACUAGUUUGUCUCCGUGCACACUGAGUGUCUUACCACUGACAUUAGGUUACAUUGGAGCAUUUGGCUCUGGAAAAAGUCAAGCUGAGUGAAUGGUGGAUCACCUUCCAUCGUUUAUUUCACUUGGAUAAUGGACGGCUUCAUCAUUCCCUACGGUAAGGAAUUCCCU